GACGAACGCUGGCGGCGUGCUUAACACAUGCAAGUCGAACGGAAAGGCCCUGCUUUUGUGGGGUGCUCGAGUGGCGAACGGGUGAGUAACACGUGAGUAACCUGCCCUUGACUUUGGGAUAACUUCAGGAAACUGGGGCUAAUACCGGAUAGGAGCUCCUGCUGCAUGGUGGGGGUUGGAAAGUUUCGGCGGUUGGGGAUGGACUCGCGGCUUAUCAGCUUGUUGGUGGGGUAGUGGCUUACCAAGGCUUUGACGGGUAGCCGGCCUGAGAGGGUGACCGGCCACAUUGGGACUGAGAUACGGCCCAGACUCCUACGGGAGGCAGCAGUGGGGAAUAUUGCACAAUGGGCGGAAGCCUGAUGCAGCAACGCCGCGUGCGGGAUGACGGCCUUCGGGUUGUAAACCGCUUUCGCCUGUGACGAAGCGUGGGUGACGGUAAUGGUAAAGAAGCACCGGCUAACUACGUG
rnacentral:rRNA from 1 species